UACGAGGGGUGCAAGCGUUGCUCGGAAUUAUUGGGCGUAAAGGGUAGGUAGGUGGUCUCAUUUGUCUGGGGUGAAAUCCUUGGGCUUAACCUAAGAAGUGCCCCAGAAACGGUGAGACUAGAGUACUGGAGAGGGUCGUGGAAUUCCCGGUGUAGCGGUGAAAUGCGCAGAUAUCAGGAAGAACACCCGUGGCGAAGGCGGCUCUCUGGGACGGUACUGACGCUGAGACGCGAAAGCGUGGGGAGCGAACAGG
rnacentral:rRNA from 1 species